AAAUGACAUGUUGCCCAUUGAUUUGUUGAUAGAAUUAAAAGGCUGUGAGAAAUAAGAACAAAAAUCAAUUUAUAUAUCAAAACCUUUCAUAACAUUUAAAUAUUAUCAAUAUAUAUUACACAAUCCAAAUACUUCAAUACACAAAGACGUCUUAUUACAAGACAUCUUAUUCUUAUAAUUGAAUAAUCUUAACUGCUAUUAUCCAAUCAAAUUCCUUCUACUCGUAGCUAAAUUUAAGGGCUAAAUUUACCAAAUCUAAAAGCUAAAUUUAGAAGGAUUAUUAUUUUUCACUCCAUGAACAUAAGUACUGCGAUCAUGCAUUAUCACAGACAACUUCUUCAUUCACGGACAGCUUCUUCAUUCGAUGAAUUUGAUGGGUUAGGGAUAUAAGUUGAAGAAGAAACACUUUAAACAUAUUAAUCAAAUCUGCAAACAAAUAAAAGAAAAAGGAAAAGAAAUUGGUUGCCAAAUUCCAACAGUUGCAAAAUAAAUUAACAAGCAAUACAUAGACAAAAGUUAAUAGAAAUAAACAUAUUUUGCUCGAAAGUAAAAAUAUUCAUAAGUUAUGAAUAGAUCAACUCAAUUAUCUUAAACGAAAAUUAGAGAACAAGAAUGUUGUAGCUCAUUUGAUUAGAAAUAAGGUAGAAUAUAUUUAACUAUAGAUAUAAAUUAAAAAAAAAAAAAGGUGAUGAUGAAUUCAUUCUCUUAUAUAUAUGAAUAAGAGAGAGUGAGAGAGCAAAUUAUAGCAUUCAAGUUUUCAGUAUAACAUCUAGUUUCAAGAAAGUGUGUUUAUUUCUCAUUAUAUAAAAAACAAUGAAUUUCCAACUAAAAAAAUUCAUAAUAAAAUUUAAUAUCUAAUACAACAUAGUAUAUUUUUUCAAAAAAAGGCUUGCAAUUAUGUCUUUUAGCCAUCAAGCCUAAGUGUGAGAGUAAAGCAUUUAACUCUUGAUAAUUACACACUUUCUGUAUAAUGCAAUUAGUGUCAACUCAUUCCAAAUUAUUCUACUAGAAUAAUAAAACAUUUCAGCCAUUAUAUUGAUGGAGCUACUAAUCCAGAAUAUUCACAAUAAAUAUAGAGUUCAAGGCAAUUAAGAGUUGUACCUCUUAAAGCUCUGCAUAUUCUCUAUCUUUCUAAGGCAAUCUUUAAUUCAUAUAGUUCCACCCCCUUUGAAUUCACAAACCUAGACUUUACAAACAAAGGUCUUAUAUCAUUAAUCUUAAUACCUUUUUACCAAAAAUAUCACUAUAUUCAUAAAUAAAAAUCACAAGUUAACUCUUUAACCUCGUGUUGGGCUGUCUUAGUCUGUACAUGGCAGAGGAAUCUACGAUAAUGUGUAUAUUUUCUUGAGAAUAAAAAGGAACAAAAAAUAGGGAAAGGAAGUCAAGACUAAGAAAUAAUUAUUCAAUAAGCUGAAAAAUUAUAGGAAUAGUUGGCAGAGAAAAAUGAAUCAGAUGAAUUUGAUUUGUGUGAUUCACUUGGAGAAAUGGGAAUAUAUGUUUCUAAAAGAUGUCGAAUUUCAGCCGAAGGAAAGAAGAGAGCAAUAAGAAUUGCCAGAUUAUUGAAGCUGAAAAAUCCCACAUUCAUGGUCAUCUUGCCCAAUCUGUCAAAGUGCAAGUACUUAAUGAAACAGAGAGGUGCCCAAUAUUAUGCUUUGGACCUUUAAGUAUCAUUAUCAUUCCUUGGAACUACCAAAAUUUCCUGGAGCUACAGCCAGAAACUUUUUAAGACGGACAAUUUAGAAAAACAAAAGAUUAAAACAAAUAAAGUGCUGUAAUGAUAGUUGUACAUGCUUGUUUAAAAAAUUAGAACAAAAAUUUAUAUAUUAAAACAAAAACUUGAUUGGACAAGGAGGGCAGCAGAGUGAUCAUGCACCCAAUGAUAGAUAAAAAUUGGGGUACACUAAAAGUUCGGAAGAAAUAAUAAAGCUAAACCAUUUGCAUUCAUUUCUUAUUGAAACUGAUAACAUCAAUGGCUUUUAACAAGAGACCUCAACCCAAUGCAUCUCAUUUCUUCAAGAUUAUACUUCCCUAUUCCAUUGAAGAAAAGAAGCUGGUAAUUAAUUCUUAUAAUUUCUCUGCAGAGAUUUUUAGUUAAUUUAAUCAGUUUUCAUAUGUUUCUUCCAUUGUUUGUGGGUUCAUUCAUAAGUUUCAUAUGUUGAACAGAGUCUUGCACCAUGCACGUUCUUUUAAAUAUUUUUUAUUUGAACUGCUACACGAUUGAUUGUAAUAGCUAGACUUUUCAGAUUAAUUUAGCUCACGAAUUAUGAGGCAAAAAAUUGUCUUCUUCAAUUUUCAAAGUGGAGGAAGUGGGAUUCAUUAUGUGGGUAUAAAUAACAGUGAAAUGUGUGAAUUUUUUAUGGCUUUAUUUGGCUUUACUUCCCUACCAACCCCUUUUAAUUUGCAUAAUAUUAUCAUAAAAAAUCCUUGGUUCCCCUGUUUUCUAGUUUCUAUUAAUAACAUAUUUUAUAUUGAUGACAUUAAAUUCAGUUUCAUUGUUCUAUUGGUUCUUGGACUCAUCUUCUUGUUUCUAUGUCAUUCAUGUAUGCUCACUGAAUUUAUCAUAUGCAAUAUCACGAUGAAAGCAUUUUGUUGGCUGUUUAUAGUCUAACCUUGCUUGUGUAAUUGUAGAGGAUUCCAACAAACUUUGUGAAAAACUUUAGAUGCGAACUUUCUAGAACUGCUACACUCAUAGACCCUAAUGGCCGUAUUUCAGAAGUUCGUAUUAGAAAGUAUGGGAAAACCCAUCUAUAGAAUCAAUAGUUCAAGCUCAAAAUUGACAUCAAUUUCAAUUUCACCAAAUCACAACCUCAUUCAAGUUCGCAAACCCUAGAACACCCAAAUCCAAACACACCCACAAAACUUCCUGAUUACAAAAUCACUAAAUUCUCUAACAAAAUAAAAUCUCUAAGAUAACCAAUACAACUCAAACAAGCUAAAUUCAUAACUAAAUUACAAAAUGAAGAAUGAACCAACUGAUAACAAAAAUAUCACAAGAUGUCAUCUUAGUUUCAAAAUCACUCAUAAUUUAAAAAAAAAAUUCUUGC
rnacentral:lncRNA from 1 species